AAAAUUUUAUCUUACCCAACUUAAUCUAAACCUGUCUCUAAGAAACAAAAAUGCAUUCCUCCACUCUUCCCAAUUAAACUUCCUUUCCUUCUCUCGAAGGAUUAAACGCGCUGAUCGGUAUCCAUCGCAGCGAUGCAAAACGGCUAUCAGGUUAUCUCGAUCGUUGCUUCUGUUUCAUAGAACGGUCCGAUGGCCAGGUAUCUCGAGCGUGCAACCUCCUCCACCCGUGAGAACAAAGGACAUCCGUAUUCGUGGAAUUCUCUGCGGUGAGACACGAACGAAGAUACUUACGCAGCCGUGUAUACACGGUCAAUGGCAACGCCUUUUCCUUUCUUCUCGACCCGCCACCGUUUCAUCCGUCUUCCGGUUUGGAAAAUUGCUCGACCAAGGACCAGUUUUUGGACCACGAUACUUUUACCCGAUUUCUUGCACGAUUAUAAUUCAGCAACAACACUUGCCAUUUCGUGAUUGAUUUUAUUCUCCGUUAUUAACGUAAUUAAUAGGCGUGGAGAGAAAAAGAGAUUUCUUCGAAUUUUUUAACACGAUUCCGUUAUGCGUUGAAAGGAAGGAAUAGUUGCCGGGAUCGACGUGUGUGGCACCUUAAUCGUAUCGCCGCCAUUUGUAUUUCAGACGAUGAAAAAAGUAAGAUUUAUUAAGAAUACGCGAUAUGAUUUAUGUAUAGUAAUUUAAGAGGUAAGGAUUCUUGAUUAUUUGGUUGGCAAUAAAUAAAAAUGGAUUGAAAGAAGACUGGAUCCCGUGUUCGAAUAGUUCAAAGUCUUAUAA
rnacentral:lncRNA from 1 species